rnacentral:rRNA from 1 species
UACGUAGGGGGCAAGCGUUGUCCGGAAUCAUUGGGCGUAAAGGGCUUGUAGGUGGCCAACUAAGUCAGACGUGAAAUCCCUCAGCUUAACUGGGGAACUGCGUCUGAUACUGGAUGGCUUGAGAUUGGGAGAGGGACGCGGAAUUCCAGGUGUAGCGGUGAAAUGCGUAGAUAUCUGGAGGAACACCGGUGGCGAAGGCGGCGUCCUGGACCAACACUGACACUGAAAAGCGAAAGCCAGGGGAGCAAACGGG